rnacentral:lncRNA from 1 species
GGGGGUAAUCAGCUGAUGCGGCGGCACAGGGUGAUCCCAUCGCCAACAGGAAGCUGACAAAUCUCGAUCCGGGGAUCAGCGGCCAGGGCCUUGUUGAGCUCCAACACGAAGUCCUUAUAAUAUCUAACGUACUUGCGGAGAGGGGCAUCAGGUGGUGCGACCACAGAGCCGUUCCAUAGGGUGUUGUCGUAGCCUAUCAAUCCUCCAACCUUGACCAGAUCAAUCAGCCUUUUGUGGUAGUUCAGGUAGUUGUCCUUGU